GAUGAAAGAACGCAGUGAAAUGCGAUAAGUAGUGUGAAUUGCAGAAUUCAGUGAAUCAUCGAAUCUUUGAACGCACAUUGCGCCCCUUGGUAUCCCGAGGGGCAUGCCUGUUCGAGCGUCAUUUCACCACUCAAGCCUGGCUUGGUGUUGGGCGACGUCCCCUUUGGGGACGCGCCUCGAAACGCUCGGCGGCGUGGCACCGGCUUUAAGCGUAGCAGAAUCUUUCGCUUUGGAAGUCGGGGCCCCGUCUGCCGGAAGACCUACUCGCAAGGUUGACCUCGGAUCAGGCAGGGAUACCCGCUGAACUUAAGCAUAUCAAUAAGCGGAGGA
rnacentral:misc_RNA from 1 species